rnacentral:rRNA from 1 species
CGGGUGAGUAACACGUGAGUGACCUGCCUUUUAGACUGGAACAACUUACCGAAAGGUGAGCUAAUGCCGGAUGAGUUAUAUAAGUGCAUGUUUAUAUAGGAAAAGUUGGGAGACCUGACGCUGAAAGAUGGACUCGCGUCCCAUUAGCUAGUUGGUAGGGUAAUGGCCUACCAAGGCGACGAUGGGUAGCCGGCCUGAGAGGGUGGCCGGCCACACUGGGACUGAGACACGGCCCAGACUCCUACGGGAGGCAGCAG